GCUCAGUAACACGUGGAUAACCUGCCCUUGGGGCCGGGAUAACCCCGGGAAACUGGGGAUAAUACCGGAUAACGCAUAUCUGCUGGAAUGCUUUAUGCGUAAAAUGGAUUUGUCUGCCCAAGGAUGGGUCUGCGGCCUAUCAGGUAGUAGUGGGUGUAAUGUACCUACUAGCCUACGACGGGUACGGGUUGUGAGAGCAAGAGCCCGGAGAUGGAUUCUGAGACAUGAAUCCAGGCCCUACGGGGCGCAGCAGGCGCGAAAACUUUACAAUGCGGGAAACCGUGAUAAGGGGACACCGAGUGCCAGCAUCAUAUGUUGGCUGUCCAGAUGUGUAAAAUACAUCUGUUAGCAAGGGCCGGGCAAGACCGGUGCCUGCCGCCGCGGUAACACCGGCGGCCCGAGUGGUGAUCGUGAUUAUUGGGUCUAAAGGGUCCGUAGCCGGUUUGGUCAGUCCUCCGGGAAAUCUGACGGCUCAACCGUUAGGCUUUCGGUGGAUACUGCCAGACUUGGAACCGGGAGAGGUAAGAGGUACUACAGGGGUAGGAGUGAAAUCUUGUAAUCCCUGUGAGACCACCUGUGGCGAAGGCGUCUUACCAGAACGAGUUCGACGGUGAGGGACGAAAGCUGGGGGCACGAACCGGAUUAGAUACCCGGGUAGUCCCAGCCGUAAACGAUGCUCGCUAGGUGUCAGGCAUGGCGCGACCGUGUCUGGUGCCGCAGGGAAGCCGUGAAGCGAGCCACCUGGGAAGUACGGCCGCAAGGCUGAAACUUAAAGGAAUUGGCGGGGGAGCAC
rnacentral:rRNA from 1 species